rnacentral:rRNA from 1 species
UCGAUCUCAAAUCAGGUAGGACUACCCGCUGAACUUAAGCAUAUCAAUAAGCGGAGGAGAAGAAACUAACAAGGAUUCCCCUAGUAACUGCGAGUGAAGCGGGAAGAGCUCAAAUUUAAAAUCUGGCGUGCCUCUGGUCGUCCGAGUUGUAGCCUGGAGAAGCGUCUUCUGUGUUGGACCGUGUAUAAGUCUCUUGGAACAGGGCGUCAUAGAGGGUGAGAAUCCCGUCUUUGACACGGACUACCAAUGCUUUGUGAUGCGCUCUCAAAGAGUCGAGUUGUUUGGGAAUGCAGCUCAAAAUGGGUGGUAAAUUCCAUCUAAAG